rnacentral:rRNA from 1 species
CAUGCAAGUCGAACGAGAGAUGAGGAGCUUGCUCUUCAAAUCGAGUGGCGAACGGGUGAGUAACGCGUGAGGAACCUGCCUCAAAGAGGGGGACAACAGUUGGAAACGACUGCUAAUACCGCAUAAGCCCACGGCUCGGCAUCGAGCAGGGGGAAAAGGAGCAAUCCGCUUUGAGAUGGCCUCGCGUCCGAUUAGCUAGUUGGUGAGGUAACGGCCCACCAAGGCGACGAUCGGUAGCCGGACUGAGAGGUUGAACGGCCACAUUGGGACUGAGACACGGCCCAGACUCCUACGGGAGGCAGCAGUGGGGAAUAUUGCACAAUGGGGGAAACCCUGAUGCAGCGACGCCGCGUGGAGGAAGAAGGUCUUCGGAUUGUAAACUCCUGUUGUUGAGGAAGAUAAUGACGGUACUCAACAAGGAAGUGACGGCUAACUACGUGCCAGCAGCCGCGGUAAAACGUAGGUCACAAGCGUUGUCCGGAAUUACUGGGUGUAAAGGGAGCGCAGGCGGGAGAACAAGUUGGAAGUGAAAUCCAUGGGCUCAACCCAUGAACUGCUUUCAAAACUGUUUUUCUUGAGUAGUGCAGAGGUAGGCGGAAUUCCCGGUGUAGCGGUGGAAUGCGUAGAUAUCGGGAGGAACACCAGUGGCGAAGGCGGCCUACUGGGCACCAACUGACGCUGAGGCUCGAAAGUGUGGGUAGCAAACAGGAUUAGAUACCCUGGUAGUCCACACCGUAAACGAUGAUUACUAGGUGUUGGAGGAUUGACCCCUUCAGUGCCGCAGCUAACACAAUAAGUAAUCCACCUGGGGAGUACGACCGCAAGGUUGAAACUCAAAGGAAUUGACGGGGGCCCGCACAAGCAGUGGAGUAUGUGGUUUAAUUCGACGCAACGCGAAGAACCUUACCAA